AAUAGCAGCACAUCUUUCAGCAGUUUAGUUAUUCUGAGCCAGAUUUUUAUGCACAUGCAUGCUUGUUGAAAUAAAGUGCAUUUAAUUUUUUUUUUCCUUCUGGAGAAUAGAAAGCUUGGGAUAUAUGUUUCUACACCCUAAGAAAUAAAAUUUGAAUGUGCAAGGAAGCUCCUAGAGAUCUAGAGCCCAGGUCACCAGGUUUGGUGGCACAUGCCACCUGCUGAGCCUCUCCUUGGACCAGGAUUGACCCCCUUCUCCCCCACGAAUAACUAGGUCCUGCGGGUCGGGGCAGAGUGGCGCCCAACGUGGGGCUCAAAGUAUGGGUCAAGUCGGACGGACCCCCGGAGUAAAGACCUUGAUCAAGGCAGUUUCUGAGGCUCCCGCUUCGGCACCCGAGGAGC